GCAGUAAAGUCCCUCUGUCUUGUGGCAGUUUAAAGCAAAAAGACCCCAAAAGAGCCUUUAAAAAUAUUCCUGGUUCUGAAGAGUUCACUCACAGUAUGCUAGAUGUGGUAUGUCCAGACUGCAGAGGUGAGCCUACAGAGGGAGCGCAGGGUCUAGAAGCAUCUAGUCUAUCUGGUCAUUGUACAAGGCACGAGUCACUGGCACACCAUGAGACUUUAAGAAGUACCUUAUCUCUUCGAGGAGAACUGAAUGUUGUAUUUAUAGGUACACCUGGCUGGCACUCAGAACUCCCAAAUGCUGCUGCUUCUACAGUAGACUCUCCUGAGAUGGAAGAAUCACAUGAAGAAAAAGUGUGCAAAUCUCUAAAAGACUAUGAAGUAGAAGAAUGUCCAGACUCUGCCAUUGAGCAUGAAGUAAAAUCUAUUGAAGAUCAUGAGCCACAUAGAAGAGCGCCGGAUAGAGAAGGCGUGUCUUUAAAUGACAUUCAUUGUGAGCAUCAAGGUAAAGGAGGAUCCAUGACAGAGGGACUGAGACUCGAAACAAAGGCUGAGUUUGGCAAGAAGAAAACCUUUGGAUUAUCCUUAAAAGACUCAGUGUCUCCUGGGUGCCAAGACUCUAUCAAGGUGGUACAUUCUUGUCUGUCUUCUCUGGAACAUUCACCAGCUGAUGUUCCUGGUGAAAUGCCUAACUUGAAACAUCACUUUAAACCCAAAGAUGGUAAAGUGCUUUGUGAAAAUGUCAAGGAUUGCACAGUCCUGUCUGACAUGAAGGAAGGAAUACCAAUGGAUUCAAAUAACCCCUGUGAACGAGAUAGCACAUACGUCAGUGUGGACAGAAAUGCAUGCAAAGCUUGUCACUCUCAUAGGAAUUCCACUGGUAAACAUUUGCCUUUGACAAUGGAAACAGCAAUUAAAAUGAAUAAAGAAGAAACUGAA
rnacentral:lncRNA from 1 species